rnacentral:piRNA from 1 species
UAAAAUAAUGCAAAUAUUUUUAUUUUGGUGAG